rnacentral:rRNA from 1 species
UACGUAGGGUGCGAGCGUUGUCCGGAAUUAUUGGGCGUAAAGAGUUUGUAGGCGGUUUGUCGCGUCUGCUGUGAAAAUCCGGGGCUCAACCCCGGACUUGCAGUGGGUACGGGCAGACUAGAGUGUGGUAGGGGAGACUGGAAUUCCUGGUGUAGCGGUGAAAUGCGUAGAUAUCAGGAGGAACACCGGUGGUGUAAACGGCUUUCUGGACCGUAACUGACGCUGAGGCACGAAAGCGUGGGUAGCAAACAGG